UACGUAGGGUGCGAGCGUUGUCCGGAUUUAUUGGGCGUAAAGGGUUCGUAGGCGGCGUGUCGCGUCGGGAGUGAAAGCCCGCUGCUUAACGGCGGGUUGGCUUCCGGUACGGGCAUCGCUGGAGUGCGGUAGGGGAGACUGGAAUUCCUGGUGUAGCGGUGAAAUGCGCAGAUAUCAGGAGGAACACCGAUGGCGAAGGCAGGUCUCUGGGCAUUAACUGACGCUGAGGAGCGAAAGCAUGGGGAGCGAACAGG
rnacentral:rRNA from 1 species